GUGAGUGUAGCUCAAUGGUAGAGCGCCGGACUGUGGCUCCGGAUGUUGCGGGUUCAAUCCCCGUCACUCACCCCA
rnacentral:tRNA from 3 species